CAGUCGCCGCGGUAAUACGAAGGGUGCAAGCGUUAAUCGGAUUUACUGGGCGUAAAGGGCGUGUAGGCGGCCUGGGGCGUCCCAUGUGAAAGGCCACGGCUCAACCGUGGAGGAGCGUGGGAUACGCUCAGGCUAGAGGGUGGGAGAGGGUGGUGGAAUUCCCGGAGUAGCGGUGAAAUGCGCAGAUACCGGGAGGAACGCCGAUGGCGAAGGCAGCCACCUGGUCCACUUCUGACGCUGAGGCGCGAAAGCGUGGGGAGCAAACCGGAUUAGAUACCCGCGUAGUCCCUGUCUCUUAUAC
rnacentral:rRNA from 1 species